rnacentral:lncRNA from 1 species
UAUACAUGAGGUCAGAGGCUGUACAGUAACACGCUAUACAUGAGGUCAGAGGUCAGAGGCUGUACAGUAACAUGCUAUACAUGAGGUCAGAGGCUGUACAGUAACACGCUAUACAUGAGGUCAGAGGUCAGAGGCUGUACAGUAACACGCUAUACAUGAGGUCAGAGGCUGUACAGUAACACGCUAUACAUGAGGUCAGAGGCUGUACAGUAACACGCUAUACAUGAGGUCAGAGGCUGUACAGUAACACGCUAUACAUGAGGUCAGAGGUCAGAGGCUGUACAGUAACACGCUAUACAUGAGGUCAGAGGUCAGAGGCUGUACAGUAACACGCUAUACAUGAGGUCAGAGGUCAGAGGCUGUACAGUAACAUGCUAUACAUGAGG